rnacentral:rRNA from 1 species
CCUACGGGCGGCUGCAGUGGGGAAUAUUGCACAAUGGGCGCAAGCCUGAUGCAGCCAUGCCGCGUGUGUGAAGAAGGCCUUCGGGUUGUAAAGCACUUUCAGCGGGGAGGAAGGCGUUAAGGUUAAUAACCUUGGCGAUUGACGUUACCCGCAGAAGAAGCACCGGCUAACUCCGUGCCAGCAGCCGCGGUAAUACGGAGGGUGCAAGCGUUAAUCGGAAUUACUGGGCGUAAAGCGCACGCAGGCGGUCCGUCAAGUCGGAUGUGAAAUCCCCGGGCUCAACCUGGGAACUGCAUUCGAAACUGGCAGGCUAGAGUCUUGUAGAGGGGGGUAGAAUUCCAGGUGUAGCGGUGAAAUGCGUAGAGAUCUGGAGGAAUACCGGUGGCGAAGGCGGCCCCCUGGACAAAGACUGACGCUCAGGUGCGAAAGCGUGGGGAGCAAACAGGAUUAGAUACCCGAGUAGUC